rnacentral:rRNA from 1 species
UACGACGUAUCAGAGUUUGAUCCUGGCUCAGGAUGAACGCUAGCGGCAGGCUUAACACAUGCAAGUCGAGGGGCAGCAUGAAGGUUAGCAAUAACCUUUGAUGGCGACCGGCGCAAGGGUGCGUAACGCGUGAGCAACUUGCCCUUAUCAGGGGGAUAACCAAUGGAAACGUUGACUAAUACCCCAUAGCAUAACUUUGAGGCAUCUCUUAGUUAUUAAAGAAUUUCGGAUAAGGAUAGGCUCGCGUGACAUUAGCUAGAUGGCGGGGUAACGGCCCACCAUGGCGACGAUGUCUAGGGGUUCUGAGAGGAAGGUCCCCCACACUGGAACUGAGACACGGUCCAG